GUGCUCACUUUGGUAGCACAUAUACUAAAAUUGAAAUGAUACGGAGAUUAGCAUGGCCCCUAAGCAAAGAUGACAUGCAAACUCGUGAACGUUAUUUUA
rnacentral:snRNA from 1 species